CAACGGAUAAAAGCUACCCUGGGGAUAACAGGCUUAUCUCCCAUGAGA
rnacentral:rRNA from 1 species